GUUGAUUUUCUUGUUGUUUCUUUGUUAGUGUUUUCUUAUUUAUUAUUGAAAAAUCAUUGUGGUUAUUGUAUUUUGUGAUUUAAUUUUUUGUACGAUAGUUUAUUUUUACCGUAGGGGAUUGAUUUGAAAGUAUUUUUUGGAAGUAGAUUUUGUUUGUCGUACCUUGUGUAUCAGGGUUCAUUGAAUUUUAUUAUUUAUUUUUAUUUUCCGAUUUUGAAGGAGUUAAUGGUUUAUGUUAGUUACUGUUUCAUCAGUAUUAAUAAUAGGUUGUUGGUAGUGAAAUGUUAUUCGUCUUUAAGGGUUUCUGGUUUUUCAAGAAAUGAAUUUAAUUCAUGUAUUUUAUUUAAUUUCUUUUGUUGGUUUAUUUAUUUUUAUUUUAUGCUAAGAUUAAGGGGGAUUAGCUUCUUAUUUUACUGUUAUAAUUUCGGGUUUCAAUUGAGUCUUGUGGAUUUUAUAGUGAUUUUCAAUUUGAUUAUGUUAAAAUUUUGUUUGUUGAUUUAUUUAUUUUCUUUUAAUUUAAUUUAUUUAUUGAAAUGUUUGCUUUAUCUUGGUUUGUAUUUUAAUUAUUGUGUAAUUAGUAAAUUUUGCUUUUAUAGUGUUUAUUUAGGUGUUAGUUUCUUUUUAGGAAUUCGGCAAAAUUUAUAUGCCCGCCUGUUUAACAAAAACAUCUUUUCUUGUUAGUUUUUGAAGUAUGGCCUGCCCACUGACAGUGUUGAAGGGCCGCGGUAUUUUGACCGUGCAAAGGUAGCAUAAUCAUUAGUUCUUUAAUUGUGAUCUGGUAUGAAUGGCUUGACGAGGUAUAAGCUGUCUUGGAAGUAUUGUUGUUUGAAUUUGGUUUUUGAGUUAAAAUUCUUAAAUGUUUUUAUGGGACGAGAAGACCCUAUAGAGUUUAAUAUUUUUCUUAUUAUGUUAUUUGUUUGUUUAUUAUUUUUAGUGGGUUAAGUAUUUUGUUGGGGUGAUGGGAGGAAUUUAUUUAACUCCUCUUUAUUUUUGUAUAUUUAUGUAUAUAUUUUUGAUCCAUUUAUUUUGAUUAUAAGAUUAAAUUACCUUAGGGAUAACAGCGUUAUCUUCCCUGAGAGUUCUUAUUGGCGGGGAGGUUUGCGACCUCGAUGUUGGAUUAAGGUGAAUUUUCGGUGCAGGAGCUGGAGUGAUUGGGUCUGUUCGACCUUUAAAACCUUACAUGAUCUGAGUUCAGACCGGCGUGAGCCAGGUUGGUUUCUAUCUAUAAUUGGAUUUUAUAUCUUAGUACGAGAGGACCGGAUAUUUGGAAUAAUUUUAUUAUUGUGAUGAUUUUCAUUAAUUGUUUACUAUUUUGGCAGAUAAGUGCAUUGGAUUUAGAAUCUAUUAAUGUAAAGUUUU
rnacentral:rRNA from 1 species